UAAAGCUUUAAAUGUUUAAUCUCAAUAAACUGUUUGGUGACACCUAUACAACUAGUGAAUUUUAUAGCAUUGGAUGAGUGGUCAGGUUCAAGCAGCCAAGCCUUUUGAGAGCAAAGCAUUUAUAUGAUAAGAUCAGUCAGUAUUUAGAAAAAGGAAAUUUCUUAUUAAAUCAAAGGUAAUUACAAACAGGAAAGUUGAAUCAAACGCUACAACAGAACUUUUGCUGAUCGUUGCUUACGAUAUUACCAGCAACAAACAUCUCAUAUAGUAAAGUGCAAACCUUCAAAUAAGUGUUUUAUGUUGUUAUUAUGAGUGACUUAAGCAGCUUCAAACUGAUUUCUGCAAUGAUUUUUUUAUGAUAUUUCAAAUAACUAGUUAGAUGAUUGUGGCUCAAAUGGUUAAUUUGAAAACGAUAU